GGGCACUUAGCUCAGUUGGUAGAGCAGCUGACUCUUAAUCAGUAGGUCGUAGGUUCGAAUCCCACAGUGCCCACCA
rnacentral:tRNA from 1 species